UAAGAGCUGCUACACGUGAGAGGAUCCUGCACCCGAUGAAUGUAAAGGUUUCACUGUGAAGAUAUAAGCAGCCAUCUCUAGGUGGGUGAUUAACUGAUUAUUUGCACUGAAGACCCAUCCUCUAAAACUUACUUAUAAGCUUGAUUUUCUAAUAUUGGAGCUUUCAAGGGAAGCACUGAUUUUGUUAUUACCUUAUAACAGCUGAGUUUUGCAUCCUAGAUCAUGCCAAAAGGCAGUCUAGGCCCAGUGCUGAUCUUGUAUUCAUGCAUGCACAUAAUGAUAUAAUAAUACUAUUAUAGUAUAUGCCUCCAGAGACAGUUAAGGCUGAACAUAUUUUUUUGAGAAUAGAUGGAUUUGAUCACAGUUGUUCUCGAAGAACCGAAACAGUCUGUCUGAUCCAAGCAACCACAUUUCAAUCUAGCUCGCCUUAAAUUAAUUCAAGAGAGGUGGUUCAACGAUAUAGUAAAAACUACAUGUUCUUCUGAAUCAUUUUCUCAUCAUUGCUUAAGUACUUACCAAUGUUCUUUGAAAGCUACCAAUGUUCUCUAACCACAGUUUAAUCUGUGUCAUAUCGAAUAUUUGUAUUAAAAAAACACCUCAUCAACAAUGGCUGCGAGCUCAAGAUUUAUUUUGGUUAACUUUGCAUGUGUCGUAUGCAUCCCCGUAUACAAUGAAUUCAGAUGCCGAUUUCUUUUUGGUGGAUGGAACAUGACAUAGGGAAUAUUUAUGGAGGUUUUAUACUCACAUUCUUGUAUUUGUUGUUUGCAGCCUCAUGAAACUUGCAGUUUGAACACAUGGUUGUUCCCUUGGCUUUUGUAGAUGAAGUGGAGCAGCACUUGUAGUUUUGUAAGGUUUAUGUAUAUAACUGUGUGGAUUGCAAUAGCCCUAAUACCAUGUAUAUACCUCUCGCUGUGGUUACGUACAACACCUAAUGUAGGCUUGGAUCAUGUCAUCUUAUUUUGGAUCAGUUUCCUGCUGUAUUAGGCCUGCUCAUUAC
rnacentral:lncRNA from 1 species